UACGAAUGGGGCAAGCGUUGUUCGGAAUCACUGGGCUUAAAGCGUAUGCAGGCGGCCAAGCAAGUCAGAAGUGAAAUCCCCGGGCUCAACCCGGGAAUUGCUUUUGAAACUGCUUGGCUAGAAUCCCGGAGAGGUUAACGGAAUUCCGAGUGUAGAGGUGAAAUUCGCAGAUAUUCGGAGGAACACCAGUGGCGCAAGCGGUUAACUGGACGGGCAUUGACGCUCAGAUACGAAAGCGUGGGUAGCAAACAGG
rnacentral:rRNA from 1 species